rnacentral:rRNA from 1 species
CCUACGGGUGGCAGCAGUAGGGAAUCUUGCACAAUGGGCGAAAGCCUGAUGCAGCAACGCCGCGUGGGUGAAGAAGGCCUUCGGAGCGUAAAACUCUGUUGUUAGAGAAGAAAGUGCGUGAGAGUAACCGUUCACGUUUCGACGGUAUCUAACCAGAAAGCCACGGCUAACUACGUGCCAGCAGCCGCGGUAAUACGUAGGGGGCAAGCGUUAUCCGGAUUUAUUGGGCGUAAAGGGAUCGUAGGCGGGCUUUUAAGUCUGAUGUGAAAGCCUUCGGCUUAACCGGAGUAGUGCAUUGGAAACUGGUAGGCUUGAGUGCAGAAGAGGAGAGAGGAACUCCAGGUGUAGCGGUGAAAUGCGUAGAUAUAAGGAAGAACACCGGUGGCGAAAGCGGCUCUCUGGUCUGUAACUGACGCUGAGGUUCGAAAGCGUGGGUAGCAAACAGGAUUAGAUACCCUUGUAGUC